rnacentral:rRNA from 1 species
GAUGAACGCUGGCGGCGUGCCUAAUACAUGCAAGUCGAGCGAACGGACGAGAAGCUUGCUUCUCUGAUGUUAGCGGCGGACGGGUGAGUAACACGUGGAUAACCUACCUAUAAGACUGGGAUAACUUCGGGAAACCGGAGCUAAUACCGGAUAAUAUUUUGAACCGCAUGGUUCAAAAGUGAAAGACGGUCUCGCUGUCACUUAUAGAUGGAUCCGCGCUGCAUUAGCUAGUUGGUAAGGUAACGGCUUACCAAGGCAACGAUGCAUAGCCGACGUGAGAGGGUGAUCGGCCACACUGGAACUGAGACGCGGUCCAGACUCCUACGGGAGGCAGCAGUAGGGAAUCUUCCGCAAAGGGCGAAAGCCUGACGGAGCAACGCCGCGUGAGUGAUGAAGGUCUUCGGAUCGUAAAACUCUGUUAUUAGGGAAGAACAUAUGUGUAAGUAACUGUGCACAUCUUGACGGUACCUAAUCAGAAAGCCACGGCUAACUACGUG